AGGGCUUGCCCUGGGGCAGAGCCGCGAACGGGUGAGUAACACGUGGGUAACGUGCCCCGAUGACUGGGACNANCCCGGGGAAACCCGGGCUAAUACCGGAUAUGCCCCCUCACAUCAGUGAGGUGUGUAAAGGAAGCUUCGGCCUCCGCAUCGGGAUCGGCCCGCGGCGCAUUAGCUUGUUGGUGAGGUAACGGCUCACCGAGGCAGCGAUGCGUAGCUGGUCUGAGAGGACGAUCAGCCACACUGGGACUGAGACACGGCCCAGACUCCUACGGGAGGCAGCAGUGGGGAAUCUUGCACAAUGCGCGAAAGCGUGAUGCAGCAACGCCGCGUGCGGGAAGACGGCCUUCGGGUUGUAAACCGCUUUCAGUUGGGACGAAGGUCGAGUGGUUAAUAGCCAUUUCGGCUGACGGUACCUUCACAAGAAGCCCCGGCUAACUACGUGCCAGCAGCCGCGGUAAUACGUAGGGGGCAAGCGUUGUCCGGAAUCAUUGGGCGUAAAGAGCGUGUAGGCGGCCUGAUAAGUCGGUUGUGAAAGUCAAGGGCUCAACCCUUGAAUGCCGACCGAUACUGUCAGGCUAGAGUCCGGACGAGGCGAGUGGAAUUCCUGGUGUAGCGGUGAAAUGCGCAGAUAUCAGGAGGAACACCUAUGGCGAAGGCAGCUCGCUGGGACGGUACUGACGCUGAGACGCGAAAGCGUGGGGAGCGAACAGGAUUAGAUACCCUGGUAGUCCACGCUGUAAACGAUGGGCACUAGGUGUGGGGGGUGUCGACUCCCUCCGUGCCGAAGCUAACGCAUUAAGUGCCCCGCCUGGGGAGUACGGCCGCAAGGCUAAAACUCAAAGGAAUUGACGGAAUCGA
rnacentral:rRNA from 1 species